AGUUUCACCUUCAACUUGAGCCAAAAAGAAUGAAGCGGUUAUUUGUAGCCCACUCUAUUAUUUUACCGUAAAUCUUCUAAAUUCUGGAACUAAUUACACCGAGGAUAUGUCUCAAUUUGUUCUGCUUUAAUGCCGCAGUCGGAGCCACCACCAGACCUGAUUCUCAGCAUCAUGAAAUUGAUGAAGUGAGACUUGCGGAGUCCUAAAUAACCGUGCGGAAUUCCAGACUGGGGUUACCAGGAGAGGCGCUGACCCCAUCCUCAACUUCCCUGGGAGC
rfam:Xenopus tropicalis clone CH216-71K21, complete sequence.